UACGUAGGGUGCAAGCGUUACUCGGAAUUACUGGGCGUAAAGCGUGCGCAGGCGGUUUUGUUAGACUGUCGUGAAAUCCCCGGGCUCAACCUGGGAAUGGCGAUGGUGACUGCAAGGCUAGAGUUUGGCAGAGGGGGGUAGAAUUCCACGUGUAGCAGUGAAAUGCGUAGAUAUGUGGAGGAACACCGAUGGCGAAGGCAGCCCCCUGGGUCAAAACUGACGCUCAUGCACGAAAGCGUGGGGAGCAAACAGG
rnacentral:rRNA from 1 species